GGGCUCUCAGGAGGCUGGAGAAACAGAGACAGCACCAGUGGGAAGCUCCGGUCCCCGUUACCGUCCCAGCUUCAGCCCCCAGUGCCUCCUGAGGGGCUUGUAAAGGAAGCCAGCUGUGGCAACAGCCUUUUAGAGAUGCUUCAGAGCUGGCUGAGAGCGUCUGAGGGGCCCCCAGACUGACAGGAACCUCUGUCUUUAAAACACUGCCUGGCAUCACCUCUGCAAUGACAUCCCCUCUCCUGCGCCCUGACCCUUAACGCCUAAAGUUUGGGAGAGGCUGAUAAAGCUUUUUCAGCAGUUCUGAUUCGGUUAGGAGACAGCAUGGCCCCUGGGGAUUGCUCCACCUCCAUCCAUCACUUCCCAUUUUCUACUGCAUCUCCAGGCCAUGGGAAGAGGGCUCUCCUGACUUCUGGCCACACUUGAGGAAGGUUCACCAUCAGGGAGAGCUGCCCAAGUGCACAGAGACAGUCCUACGCCCAGAACCAAAACAAGAAGCUGGCUUUCCCUGGGGGAGGACUUGGUGACGGAUUAUUCUGUAAAUUCCCAAAUAAUUACAAUAACCAGAGAGAAGCAAAGAAGGGGAGAAGGAGAUAGAUUUGAAAGGAUAAUGCCCAGCCUGAGAGUGAGUAAUGGUC
rnacentral:lncRNA from 1 species